rnacentral:rRNA from 1 species
GACGAACGCUGGCGGCGUGCUUAACACAUGCAAGUCGAACGGAAAGGCCCUGCUUUUGUGGGGUGCUCGAGUGGCGAACGGGUGAGUAACACGUGAGUAACCUGCCCUUGACUUUGGGAUAACUUCAGGAAACUGGGGCUAAUACCGGAUAGGAGCUCCUGCUGCAUGGUGGGGGUUGGAAAGUUUCGGCGGUUGGGGAUGGACUCGCGGCUUAUCAGCUUGUUGGUGGGGUAGUGGCUUACCAAGGCUUUGACGGGUAGCCGGCCUGAGAGGGUGACCGGCCACAUUGGGACUGAGAUACGGCCCAGACUCCUACGGGAGGCAGCAGUGGGGAAUAUUGCACAAUGGGCGGAAGCCUGAUGCAGCAACGCCGCGUGCGGGAUGACGGCCUUCGGGUUGAAAACCGCUUUCGCCUGUGACGAAGCGUGAGUGACGGUAAUGGGUAAAGAAGCACCGGCUAACUACGU